CAGUAGCCGCGGGAAUACAGAGGGUGCGAGCGUUAAUCGGAAUUACUGGGCGUAAAGCGUGCGCAGGCGGUUAUAUAAGACAGAUGUGAAAUCCCCGGGCUCAACCUGGGAACUGCAUUUGUGACUGUAUAGCUAGAGUACGGCAGAGGGGGAUGGAAUUCCGCGUGUAGCAGUGAAAUGCGUAGAUAUGCGGAGGAACACCGAUGGCGAAGGCAAUCCCCUGGGCCUGUACUGACGCUCAUGCACGAAAGCGUGGGGAGCAAACAGGAUUGGAUACCCCAGUAGUCCCUGUCUCUUAUAC
rnacentral:rRNA from 1 species